CUCGGAUGGAGGCUGGAAGAGUGGCGUGUGGCGCCAAGGGACGCAGCUCGUUUCAGCGAUGAGACUGGGAAAUGCAGCUGAUUCUCAUAAUUAGAGAGCUACAAAAUUUUAUGAGCCAUGGUGAUUCCAGAGCCAGGUGCAAGUGCCUCUUUGUGGGGCCACCCUGCCUUGGAGCCAGC